UAGCCAGGGGUUACACGAAUUAUGAAAAACUCAAAAGCUUCUUAGAAGAAAAACCGAUGGAUGAACAGAGAAAACAACAGAGCAAAAAGAAAGAACAUAUGCGUCAUAAAGCAACGAAGAAAAACAUGACCAACGAAAUCACUGAUGAAAUUACCAAUAUAAUGACAGUGUGUGGCUGAGGUAAUAGACAUCAUAUAUCCAGCAAUAAUACAAUAUCAAGAUAAAAAAAUAGCUGAGAGAGACAUGGGAGUUGAGGAGGCCAAUGGCAAGAAGUUUGUCUUCAGAGGCAGAAAGAAAACACCCAGCAGAUUACCAGGAUGUGUGAAGAGAGGGAGCAGAGGAGAGCCAACCCCACUGUUUUCACAAGAGUCACCUGACCUGUCUCCAACAAGAAGGCCACUGUCUCUAUGCAGAGAGUGUUGGGCAGAAAAUCUGCCAGAGCCUGAACCAGCAGUGGCACUUCCCCAUCACGCUGACAGUAUUUCUAGUUUUUGCAGAACGGGCACGUGCAUGGGAGCUGAAGAUGGCAAAUUACAAAGCUAUUGCAUUAGGGAAGAUAUUUCUCCUGACUUCAAAAAAGAUCGCCCUAAAACAGGCAUAUUUAGAAAAUUAUUUUCACUAACCAAUGUCCAGGGAAGUGUGCCAGGUUAUAAGGAACAAGUGCAAUGGGAAGGACAAAUGCCAAGUCAGCGUCAAGUACCUGACUUUCUACAACCCACAUCAGUGGGCAUCAGGAAGCUGAAUUUUUGCACAGGAGCUCUGGGGCUCAAACCUUCUACAUCCACCUGGACACAGUAACUAAGCCAAGAGCUGUCCAUUCAAGAAAAACUCAACCCCAGAUUGGCAGGCAGCUUAUAGGAAAGUCCUUGUUUUCAUCACACAGAAAGACAUUUCCUGAAGAGUAAGUACCACAUAAGGCAGUACAGGGAGUUUGCAGCAAGCCCCUGCCAAUGUACACAUUUCAGCCUCAGCCCUUGUGGUCACCAACCAGUAUUUAUGAUAAUGCUUUUUUUAAAGAAAUACACGAUGAACUAAUGAGCAAAAUGGUUCUUUCACAAACCCUACAUGCUCAGGACAGUGCAGUCCUCAUAAGUGAUCCUUCAUGUAUCAGCACAGAUACAGCUGAUUCAGUGUUGAAUAAGCUUGCCAUAUGCCAGGCCACAGACCUGCAGUUUUCUGAAGAUCAGGAUCUCUCCCCUAACAUAGACACAUUGACAGCCAAACUUAUUCACUCCAGUUUAUCUGACCUUCUGGAAGAAAGUGCUUCCAAAGUCUCGGUUUAUGCAGACAUGAAAAGCAACAAGAGUGUUUUGAUAAAGACAGAAAUAACUGGUUACCAGCAGGAAGAAGCCUUAGCAAAAGCAUCCUCAGCUCUGUAUAGACCUCUAAAACCUGGGGUAAUGGAUGAGAAGCUUUUCGAAGAUGCUACCAAAAGCAAUGCCCGAUGUCAAAGUCCCACACCAUCUACCAUGGGGAUAUGCCACAGAUUUUUGGAAGAUCUAAUCAGCAGGCUUUUAUCUAACAUUCUCCCUGCCACCGCCAGCACAUCUUCCUCUACAGAAAAGAAAAUGCAACUGGCAGAAUGUGGCUUGAUUCACAUGACGGUCAUCAGUAAAGUUAUAGCAAAAAUCUCUGAAGAUGAGAACUCCUCCUGCCAGCAUAUUGAACAUCCACAUUCCAGGGAGGAUGCUCAGAUUCAAACAAUUGCUGAUUUGGUCUAUACCAAGCUUUUGAUACAGUUUCAGUCUAAAUUCAACGUGCAGAAGUGUUUAAUAAAUGGGUGUGUGAUUCUUUCUGAAGCAGUCUGUGAUUUGGUCUUCCAAGAGAUAACUGGGAAUACAUUGCAGAACUCUCUUUCUGGAGAAUUACCACUUCAUGACCUUGCUGAACCUGACAAUAUUGUUGAAAAUACACUAAGAGAUGUUACUGAGCCUUCAGAUAACCCAACAGUUUAUCACAAGAAGUUAGUAAAAUAGUUCCUCUUAUCAUAGAAAAACUAACAGCAAAUCUUGUAUCAACACUUUCUUCCCUCUUUCCCAUUGCAAGUUUGGAUACAGAAAAGAUGUUGUUACUGACUGAUGCAACUAGAAAAAUACAACAUGCUGUGCAAGUACUCCUGUCAGAACAUGAGAAGAACGUGAACAAACAGACCAGUGAAAGAGAAUUCUUACACAUUGAAGACAGCCAGGCCCUGGGAGACCUCUUCCAUCCAGCUUGCACAAGCACCGUCGAAUGUUCGGAUUCUGACAUUUUUGUUUGCAGAGACCUAACAAAUAGCCAAGAUAUUUUUGCUCAUAGAAUAGCAGCUUCAAUAGCAAAAGAAGUAGCCAAUUCUGACUUUCAAGCCAAUUCAGAGGAGGAGACAUUGCCUACUUCAUCUUCAACAACAGAAAGUAUUAAGAUUAUUGAAUGACUCCCUACUGAUCUUGGCAUGAUAAUGAAGAUCCCAAAACCAACUUUAAAGCCAUGUAUUCCUGUGGUACCCAUGGCUACUGUAAUAAUUGAAGAACUCUCCGAUUGCCCCCUUAGUGACAGUCCACCAACACUGAGCCAAGCUGUGAUGAACCCAGACAGAAUUGCUGACUAAGUGUCUGUUAGUGCAGAGCCCAAAACAGGGAGUUCUGAAGAGGCAAUCCCAGGUUCAACUACAAAUGAGACCCCAACAGAGACAGAGGAGUUGCCUGUGAAAAGAAUCCCUCAUAUUACUGUCAAAUAUGUACCCAUUUCUUCAGACUUGGUGUGUGAUUACUUACAAGUGAUUCCCAUAAAAGCAGAGCCUCUUGAGGAACUGCAAGAAGCAUUCGUUGCUCAAACUGGGGAUGGCCUAAGAAACCUAAGAGCAUCGCUGGGUGAGAAGUGCCUUGAAGAUGAAAGCUUGAGAUCCGAGGCACAGAGAAAAGACGACAGUCUGGGUAACAUAGGACAACGAGUUGUAAGACCAGGGGAGGGAUUUAUGCUGACAGGUGCCAGACCUUGGAUAUAGAAGACUCUUCCUACAUGUCUGAGUUGGAAACACUGUCGGAAGAUGCCGAAAGGAAAGAUUCUCCGACACCGGAAGAAAUGAGGUGUGAUACAGCAGUUGCUGCCAGCAGCCCAAGAAAACGGUCUACCUUUUUCAGGAAGAUACCGAAUGCUGUCUAGAAUGCAGUCUCUUGUCUCAAGUUGCCUUCCAUGCCGCAGAAAAUUUUGAAAAGUUGCACCAGAGAUUAUACCUACAUGUUAAAUUAUUUUAGGAAAAAUAGGAAAAGUAUAGUGUUAGGAAAAAAUGUGAUCUGUUGGAGGCUGCUAAUAGUACUUUGUGAUUGUUUGCAACUUCAUUCUCAUGUAGUUAAACCCAACAAAGAGGGCAGACAGAAAAGGCAGACAGGCCUACUCCACAGGGAGGAGGGAGGCUCCUUUUUGGAUGCAUUGUUCAGGAGUUACGGUGCACUCCCAAGCAGUUGGCUGUGCCACAGGAUGGGUGUUGGAGAGAGAGGUCAGGAGCCAGCCCAACCAGCAGGUAGUGCCACAAAAUGCCUGAGAACUCCUUGCGAUAACUUGGAGGAGCCACCUAGCAAGGGUGGGGAGUUAAAGCCAGCAGAUAUUGCCAUUUGGAGAUGGCAGCAAUCUCCACCUGGAAUCACAGGGUAAUCAGAAGGCCGCUGGAAUCAACGGUGUUGAUACAUCAUUGUCAGCGCCAGUAGAGGGAACAAUUUUCUGAGUCUCUAGCUACAGUGACUGGGGUUUAACUUAAGCUCUCUGAGCAGAAGAGCAGCAUGGCACAGCUGCCUGAGGGGAGCAAACCCCCAGGACUGAGGACCGGUCUGCCUUGGCCUGGCAGCAGGGAGAGGUGAAGGGAAUGUUGGUGUCUCUGCCAUGCUGGAGCUCUGGGCCACCAGGGGAGCCUUCAGACUCACUUCUAUGAGCGCCUGAGUCAUCUCUGACCCAUCUCUAAUUUGUGCUGCUUUUCCCUCAAGGGCUGGAAUUACUCUGGAGCUGGGGGAGGUGUUAUUGCCAAGUUCACUGCUGCUCACCUCCAAAAUUCAAAGCUUGGGGGGGAAGAGCCUGCAAGUUAGGACUGGCCCCCAAAUAAUGAAGAUUUCUUUAAUAUGGACUACCUAUACAUGACUUCAUUGGCUUUCUAAUUAGAAUGCGUUGGAGCAGACGUAGUUAGUUGAGUCUGCUCCACGUCCUCAUUAGAAUGCUGCAGCAUCACCAUCGUGUCACAUGUAUUAAGCCCCUGCAUGUUUUAAAAUGGCCGCAGGGUGCUUUAACUUAUCCUGAUUGAAUGAAGUUUAGAUAAAGCAUCCUGCAGCCAUUUUUAAAUAUGCGGGGGCUUAAUACACGUGAUGGUGAAGCAUUUUAAUUAGAGUGGCUGCCCAGGUACCGCAGUAAUUGUACUCCCUUCCCCCGAGCAUGUGUAUAGGCAGCCAUGAUUUCGUUAAGCUCUUGCUUUUUAAACACCUCCCUCCAUAAGUGGGGACAGUUUCCAGGCUGCUGGCUGUCAUAUGGGCAGAAGAGGAAACUCUGAUGCCCGGUCCCACCAGGAGCUUGCACUGCCUGCCUGAGGACACAGCUUCUCUACAAUGAAGUUCUAGUGUAAGCCACAGGCUGUGGGCUGCUGAGGCCUGUUCCAGUGAGUCCAGUUUCUGCUCUCUGCUGUUCUUCAUGCACCUCUAGUUUCAGGAGUGUUUCCCAUCCUUCCCCAGGCCAGGAAGGGGCUCCACUGAAACCACCAAUACUCAUUCUCAGGCCUCUUAGCAGGAAUGGGCCUGCCUGACCUAGGGCUCACAGGAUGGGAUCACAUGGGGGAGUGGUAGUGUCUGCACUGGCAUUCUCUGUCAUCCUUCCAUCUUGAGGCAUGUUGGGUUACCAGAGCGAGGAGGGAGAGCUGCUGCCUCCCUAGGAUUACUGUACAUCUGGGUUUUCCAAGAUGUAUCCUCUUUUUUGGCCCCCUUUCCAGUCUGGGUGGAUUUUUAAAAUGCGAGCAAAUGCCCAGGUAUUUGCUUUGCCUCUGCUUUUUCUACGCAGAAGCAACUUGGAAGCUUGGGGCUGGGAGUAGCAGGCAAAGUGAUCACGUGCUCUGCACACAGGCCUGGGCAGAGUG